rnacentral:rRNA from 1 species
AACGCUAGCUACAGGCUUAACACAUGCAAGUCGAGGGGCAGCAUGAUUGAAGCUUGCUUCAAUUGAUGGCGACCGGCGCACGGGUGAGUAACACGUAUCCAACCUUCCGUACACUCAGGGAUAGCCUUUCGAAAGAAAGAUUAAUACCUGAUGGUAUCUUAAGCACACAUGUAAUUAAGAUUAAAGAUUUAUCGGUGUACGAUGGGGAUGCGUUCCAUUAGGUAGUAGGAGGGGUAACGGCCCACCUAGCCUACGAUGGAUAGGGGUUCUGAGAGGAAGGUCCCCCACAUUGGAACUGAGACACGGUCCAAACUCCUACGGGAGGCAGCAGUGAGGAAUAUUGGUCAAUGGACGAGAGUCUGAACCAGCCAAGUAGCGUGAAGGAUGAAGGUCCUACGGAUUGUAAACUUCUUUUAUAAGGGAAUAAAACCUCCCACGUGUGGGAGCUUGUAUGUACCUUAUGAAUAAGCAUCGGCUAACUCCGUGCCAGCAGCCGCGGUAAUACGGAGGAUGCGAGCGUUAUCCGGAUUUAUUGGGUUUAAAGGGAGCGCAGACGGGUCGUUAAGUCAGCUGUGAAAGUUUGGGGCUCAACCUUAAAAUUGCAGUUGAUACUGGCGUCCUUGAGUGCGGUUGAGGUGUGCGGAAUUCGUGGUGUAGCGGUGAAAUGCUUAGAUAUCACGAAGAACUCCGAUUG